rnacentral:rRNA from 1 species
UACGUAGGGUGCAAGCGUUGUCCGGAAUUAUUGGGCGUAAAGAGCUCGUAGGCGGUCUGUCGCGUCGGCUGUGAAAACCCGGGGCUCAACCCCGGGCCUGCAGUCGAUACGGCAGACUAGAGUGCGGUAGGGGAGACUGGAAUUCCUGGUGUAGCGGUGAAAUGCGCAGAUAUCAGGAGGAACACCGGUGGCGAAGGCGGGUCUCUGGGCCGUAACUGACGCUGAGGAGCGAAAGCGUGGGGAGCGAACAGG